GAUGAACGCUAGCGAUAGGCUUAACACAUGCAAGUCGAGGGGCAGCACAAGGUAGCUUGCUAUCUGGGUGGCGACCGGCGCACGGGUGCGUAACGCGUAUGCAACUUGCCCUAUACAGGAGGAUAACCCGUCGAAAGACGGACUAAUACUGCGUAUGCUCACAACUUGGCAUCAAGUGGUGAGGAAAGAAAUUCGGUAUAGGAUAGGCAUGCGUCCCAUUAGCUUGUUGGUGAGGUAACGGCUCACCAAGGCAACGAUGGGUAGGGGGACUGAGAGGUUUAUCCCCCACACUGGUACUGAGACACGGACCAGACUCCUACGGGAGGCAGCAGUGAGGAAUAUUGGUCAAUGGGCGCGAGCCUGAACCAGCCAAGUCGCGUGAAGGAUGACUGUCUUAUGGAUUGUAAACUUCUUUUAUACGGGAAUAACAAGAGUCACGUGUGACUCCCUGCAUGUACCGUAUGAAUAAGCAUCGGCUAACUCCGUG
rnacentral:rRNA from 1 species